CCUACGGGUGGUAGCAGUGAGGAAUAUUGGUCAAUGGGAGAGAUCCUGAACCAGCCAAGCCGCGUGAGGGAAGACGGCCCUAUGGGCGUUAAACUUCUUUUGUGCGGGAGCAAUAAUGGUCACGUGUGGCCAGACGAGAGUACCGUACGAAUAAGCAUCGGCUAACUCCGUGCCAGCAGCCGCGGUAAUACGGGGGAUGCAAGCGUUAUCCGGAUUUAUUGGGUUUAAAGGGUGCGUAGGCUGUGAGGUAAGUCAGCGGUGAAAUGCCCCCGCUCAACGGGGUGAAGUGCCAUUGAUACUGCCUUGCUGGAAUGCGGAUGCCGUGGGAGGAAUGUGUGGUGUAGCGGUGAAAUGCAUAGAUAUCACACAGAACACCGAUUGCGAAGGCAUCUCACGAAUCCGCGAUUGACGCUGAUGCACGAAAGCGUGGGUAUCAAACAGGAUUAGAUACCCCUGUAGUC
rnacentral:rRNA from 1 species